GUGUAAGCAGCAAGAGCAGGAAAAGAAACUCACAUGAGCAUAAAUUUGUCAAAUAUAAACUUGCUUUGCAGAAACACCCAAACAUGAUCUCAUUUGCCCUCAGAUUCCACUUAAAUGCCUAUAAGUUAUGUUUCAUUAAGUUAUCUACUUAACUGAUAUAACUUUUACCAUUUGGAAAAAAGUGAAUGUAUUGUUCUUUUUAGAUUAUUCCUUCAUGAUUUUCAGCUUUGUCUCAGAUGAAUGCAGACAGCAAUCCCACUGUUUCCAAAUGCCUGGAUAAACCUGUGUUAUCUGUAGCUUUUGGAAGCUAGUUAGCCUGCCACAGCACUGUGUCUUCUGAUCAUAGACAUUUAUUGUGCACUCAUACAGAGCUCCUUUUCUUUAUUGCGAACACUAAUGCGCGUUUCAAUGAGAGCAGGUGGGUAAGUCAUCUUUGUAUUGGUCAGCUAGGGCACUUGCUGAUUUAUACAUUUCCUCAUUGGGUUUUGACAAAAGUUCUUGUGGCGUAAAAACUCAAACUUCCUUGCCAACAUCUCUCACACCACAGAACGGUCACCUGCGCAAUGUCAGUGUCUACAGCUGCGUAAAAUACAGACACUUUGAAGUGCUCAGAGAAAAAUAUGGACCAGCAAAGUUUUUUUUUAAAUAGUGGUUUCAUUUUUACGCCAAUGUUGCCUCUUAAAAUAGUCAAUAUCAUGACGUGCACCCUAAUAUUAUGUAACAGUUGUCGAAAGGUGGGGGCGGGGCCCCUUAUGGACUGGAUGCUGUGGGUAGAUUACAUACUUUAACCUCAAGGAAUGCUGAUCACUCCUAAUUGACAAGGACAUUGACAUGGACACAGAAGAAUUUUGUAAGGCCCUUGUUAUUGGCGGAGGUGGGGCCGCGGCUGUGCUCCUGGCUCCUGCUGCUGGGGGUCUGGUGGCAAUCGUGCAGUCAUUGGGUGCAGCUGGUCUGACAGGAUCAGGAACUGCACUUAUGGCUGGUGCUGGAGGAGUUGCAGGAUGGCUGAUAUCAGCCAUUUGUAAUACAACUGUAACCACCUAAAGAUUUACAAUAUAAAUAUUUACUUGAUUUACUCUUUACCAAAGGGAGACAACUACAAAUGAUGUUUUUCUGCAGUGUGAUAAAUCUGAUUCACCUGAAUUAAAUUUGUUUUCAUGUGUGUGCCACACACUCACCUUCAAGAAGCAAGUCUAAUAUGUUUGAACCCAAUUUAACUGACUCUGGAGGCAGUUAAAAUGCUUUUGUGCUCUUUGGAUACUUUUAUCUUCUCAUACUGUCCAAUUCUAAUCAAGUCAAAAUAAAAUGCAUGAAAAAAACAUCAUUCUUCUGUUAUUGUUGGUGCAGUAGUAGUAACAAUUUGAAACGUUUUCAUUGAGUCCAUAAAAUGCAUCACUCAAUUCAAACCAAGA